CAGCACCUCAAGUGGUCAGGAUGAUUAUUGGGCCUAAAGCAUCCGUAGCCGGCGCUGUAAGUUUUCGGUUAAAUCUGUACGCUCAACGUACAGGCUGCCGGGAAUACUGCAGCGCUAGGGAGUGGGAGAGGUAGACGGUACUCGGUAGGAAGGGGUAAAAUCCUUUGAUCUAUUGAUGACCACCUGUGGCGAAGGCGGUCUACCAGAACACGUCCGACGGUGAGGGAUGAAAGCUGGGGGAGCAAACCGGAUUAGAGACCCCUGUAGUCC
rnacentral:rRNA from 1 species